rnacentral:tRNA from 1 species
GCCUCAGUAGCCCAGUGGUAGAGCGUUUGCCUAGUAUUCUUGGUAGCAAAAGGUCCAGUGUUCGACUCACUGUUGAGGCA